AUUGAACGCUGGCGGCAGGCUUAACACAUGCAAGUCGAGCGAGCGGCGGACGGGUGAGUAAUGUCUGGGAAACUGCCUGAUGGAGGGGGAUAACUACGGGAAACGGUAGCUAAUACCGCAUACCAUCAGAUGUGCCCAGAUGGGAUUAGCUAGGAGGUGGGGUAAUGGCUCACCUAGGCGACGAUCCCUAGCUGGUCUGAGAGGAGGACCAGCCACACUGGAACUGAGACACGGUCCAGACUACUAAGGGAGGCAGCAGAGGGGAACAUGGCACAAUGGGCGCAAGCCUGAUGCAGCCAGGCCGCGCGUGUGAAGACGGCCUUCGGGGUGUAAAGCACUUUCAGCGAGGAGGCGUUACUCGCAGAAGAAGCACCGGCUAACUCCGUGCCAGCAGCCGCGGUAAUUC
rnacentral:rRNA from 1 species